rnacentral:rRNA from 1 species
AGAGCACAUGGUGGAUGCCUUGGCAAUGAUAGGCGACGAAGGACGUGAUAGCCUGCGAUAAGCUUCGGGGAGCUGGCAAAUUAGCUUUGAUCCGGAGAUUUCCGAAUGGGGAAACCCACCUGCAAAGGUAUCGCAUACUGAAUACAUAGGUAUGCGAGGCGAACCGGGUGAACUGAAACAUCUCAGUAGCUCGAGGAAAAGACAUCAACCGAGAUUCCGAAAGUAGUGGCGAGCGAAAUCGGAGAAGCCUGCAAGUGAUAGCACAAGACAUAACGGAACAGCCUGGAAAUGCUGGCCAUAGCGGGUGAUAGCCCCGUACGUGAAAUGACCUGUGUGGUACUGAGCUUGCGACAAGUAGGGCGGGACACGAGAAAUCCUGUCUGAAUAUGGGGGGACCAUCCUCCAAGGCUAAAUACUCAUCAUUGACCGAUAGUGAACUAGUACCGUGAGGGAAAGGCGAAAAGAACCCCGGGAGGGGAGUGAAAUAGAUCCUGAAACCGUGUGCUUACAAAAAGUAGGAGCCUCGAAAGGGGUGACUGCGUACCUUUUGUAUAAUGGGUCAGCGACUUACAUUCAGUGGCAAGGUUAACCGAAUAGGGAAGCCGUAGAGAAAUCGAGUCCGAAUAGGGCGUCAAGUCGCUGGGUGUAGACCCGAAACCAAGUGAUCUAUCCAUGGCCAGGAUGAAGGUGCCGUAACAGGUACUGGAGGUCCGAACCGACUAGUGUUGCAAAACUAGCGGAUGAGCUGUGGAUAGGGGUGAAAGGCUAAACAAACUUGGAAAUAGCUGGUUCUCUCCGAAAACUAUUUAGGUAGUGCCUCAGGUAUUACCGACGGGGGUAGAGCACUGUUUUGGCUAGGGGGUCAUGGCGACUUACCAAACCAAUGCAAACUCCGAAUACCGUCGAGUACAGCCUGGGAGACAGAGCACCGGGUGCUAACGUCCGGACUCAAGAGGGAAACAACCCAGACCGCCAGCUAAGGUCCCUAAAAUUGGCUAAGUGGGAAACGAAGUGGGAAGGCUAAAACAGUCAGGAUGUUGGCUUAGAAGCAGCCAUCAUUUAAAGAAAGCGUAAUAGCUCACUGAUCGAGUCGUCCUGCGCGGAAGAUGUAACGGGGCUAAGCCAGUUACCGAAGCUGCGGAUUUGCAAUUUAUUGCAAGUGGUAGGAGAGCGUUCUGUAAGCCUGUGAAGGUGGUGGUGUAAACCCUGCUGGAGGUAUCAGAAGUGCGAAUGCUGACAUGAGUAGCGUUAAAGGGGGUGAAAAGCCCCCUCGCCGUAAGCGCAAGGUUUUCUACGCAACGUUCAUCGGCGUAGAGUGAGUCGGCCCCUAAGGCGAGGCAGAGAUGCGUAGCUGAUGGGAAACAGGUCAAUAUUCCUGUACCGAUGUGUAGUGCGAUGUGGGGACGGAGAAGGUUAGCUCAGCCAACUGUUGGAUAUGUUGGUUCAAGCCUGUAGUCGUGCCUGGUAGGUAAAUCCGCCGGGCUUAGAUGAGGGGUGAUAACGAGUCUGCUUGCAGACGAAGUGAGUGAUACCCUGCUUCCAGGAAAAGCCACUAAGCUUCAGCUACACACGACCGUACCGCAAACCGACACUGGUGCGCGAGAUGAGUAUUCUAAGGCGCUUGAGAGAACUCAGGAGAAGGAACUCGGCAAAUUGACACCGUAACUUCGGAAGAAGGUGUGCCUUUAGUAGGUGAACCAUUUACUUGGGGAGCCCAAUGAGGUUGCAAAAAAUCGGUGGCUGCGACUGUUUAUUAAAAACACAGCACUCUGCAAACACGAAAGUGGACGUAUAGGGUGUGACGCCUGCCCGGUGCUGGAAGAUUAAAUGAUGGGGUGCAAGCUCUUGAUUGAAGUCCCAGUAAACGGCGGCCGUAACUAUAACGGUCCUAAGGUAGCGAAAUUCCUUGUCGGGUAAGUUCCGACCUGCACGAAUGGCGUAACGAUGGCCACACUGUCU